rnacentral:lncRNA from 1 species
AAUUUACAUGACAGUUAACGAAAAAAAAUUUCGUGAAAUUCUUCAUCGUCGUCUUUGUUUCUGUUUAAGUUUGUAUAAAAUUCACUUUUCUUUAUUAAAAGUCAGCCUUCAAAAAAGGAGAUGUCUAGACUGUUGAGAAUUUGAAAUAUUCGAUCAUAGAUUUGCUUUUAUAGGAAAGUUGUCAACGCCAAAAGAUCUAUUUUUGUCAGCAAUUUAAUUAGCGGAAAUGUCGACAAACAAGUUGUCAGGUUGUUUAUCUCAUUCGUCAUGCGUACACUUCGUGCUUUUGAUGUCACGCAGAAAGGACUCCGGGCACGAUCCAUUCUCUUCGAUGCUAAAGAAAAUAAUGAAGAUAGGUCGCACAACAGGUCAUCGAAAGAGCAAAAUAAUUCAGGGAAGGGUUUUAAGGUAAGGGGUCAUAAUCCUUUCCUAUCCUUGGCCUCAGACACACAGAGCAAAAAUCUUCAUUCACAAAUUCUACUCAUAUUUUAGUUUUAUAUUUCGGCUUGCGAUUUCGAAGAUUAUAGUCAUUAUCACUGAGGAGUUCCGCUAUUGAAUAUGCUUUUCAACAUCACUUUUUCGCUAUUAUGAAUUGCGGAAGUACUUCUACGCCAUACAAUUCUAUUCUGCGACACCAAACUCAAUAUGAUAAAUACCGCUAUCCUUCGUUCUAUAAAAUGUUUAGACUCUCUAAAAUAAUUAC